UGCGCAGGCGGCCGUGUAAGUCAGAGGUGAAAUAUGACGGCUCAACCGUCAAACUGCCUCUGAGACUGCUCGGCUUGAGUCCGGGAGAGGAAGGUGGAAUUCCUGGUGUAGCGGUGAAAUGCGUAAAUAUCAGGAGGAACACCGGUGGCGAAGGCGGCCUUCUGGAUCGUCCCUGACGCUAAGACGCGAAAGCUAGGGGAGCGAACG
rnacentral:rRNA from 1 species